GGCUUGGUGGCGAAGUGGUCUAACGCUGCAGUUUGCAAAACUGCCAUUCGUGGGUUCGACUCCCACCCAAGCCUCUA
rnacentral:tRNA from 1 species